AUACUUAAACAAAAAAUACUCGUGAGUACAAAGUAUCGAUACUUUCCUAGUAUCGUUGCAUCCCUAGCUGCGUUCCCGACUUCGCUCUAUAUCGAACGGACGCUAGUUUCACCAACAUAAAUUUAACACCAACUAGAAUUGACAGUCACUGACAUAAUAGAAUUCUAUUAUGUCAGUGUUGACAGUAGCUUGUUUACAGAUUUUUAUUUAAAUAUUAGUUUACAAACAAAAACAAUACCUUUAUUUUUUAAUAGUAGAAAAUCAUGUCGCAAAUAAAUCCACCCCGAGUUAAAACCAAAAGGGAGGUGCUGGAAGAGAAAAAGGAAACUACUCAAGAAUUGAUAGAUCAUGAAGAAAGGAUUAAGGAGUUGAGAAAAGAUUUGAACAAUUAUUUAAAAGAAACUGAGUGGAAAUAUAAGCCUAUAGAAUAUUAUAUUGGGAUGGACCCAUAGGCAUAUAACCAAAGAAGUCUAUAAUCAAUAAGAAACCUUGUCUAAAUCCAUAAAAAACAUUAUUAAAGUUUUGGUGGCAGUCUCAAGGCACAACAAAAAUGCAACUGACAUAUUGUAAAGGCAUUACCAGUGUUAUGCAGACAAUAUAUUAUGACUUCCUAUUACAUCAUAACGAACCAUCACUACAAGCCUUAUUCUUGGUCAUUUAUCUAGGUUUAAGGUGAGUGAGCAGAUAAGACUGUUACUAUUAGUUAAGCCAACAUCAAUCAAUCAAAACAUGUAAGGAAGUAUUGUGACAUAAAAUAUGUACGUUUGUUCAAUACAUUACACACCAUUCUUGGACUAUGAUUAAUGAUUAUGUAGACAUUCAAACUAUAAAAUAGAAAGCCAUUUAAAGCAA